UACGGAAGGGGCGAGCGUUGUUCGGAAUCAUUGGGCGUAAAGGGCGCGUAGGCGGUUCGUACAGUCAGACGUGAAAUUCCUGGGCUCAACUUGGGGGCUGCGUUUGAUACGUGCGGACUUGAGUGCGGAAGAGGGUCGUGGAAUUCCCAGUGUAGAGGUGAAAUUCGUAGAUAUUGGGAAGAACACCGGUGGCGAAGGCGGCGACCUGGUCCGAUACUGACGCUGAGGCGCGAAAGCGUGGGGAGCAAACAGG
rnacentral:rRNA from 1 species